AUGUACCACGCGUACACUGCGGUUCCUGCGCGCCGUCCGCACCCAGCUGACGACUGCUCGCUACGUUUUGUUAGCC
rnacentral:sRNA from 1 species